UGUUUGGGAAUCGACGCAGUGCAGCCUGAGAACUGCACAUUCAGUACGGGAGUGUCGCCGGCCCGCGCGACUCGGACACUGCUGGUGACUUCUGGACCGCUGCCGCGCGCCUCUGGCGCCACGUCCAGCCGGCCCUCCGACGAGACGCAUCCGUCCGACCACUACCAGCUCAUCUCGAUCACCACAGUAUGCGGGAGUCAGCUGUUCGCCGGUCGCGGUGGCAACGCCAGGCCACCGCCUUGGCUCGCCGGCGCGCCCUGGCGCAGCAAAGCCCUGAGCCCGCCCGUGCCGUGCCGACCGAGCACGCUUCAGGUCCGGCGGCGGCAGCCCUGGAUCGGGCCACCCACCAACCCACCACCAGCGUCACCAACAGGAUGUCUGAUAGCACAGACUCUCCCCAUUAUGGACCCUGUGUGCGACCGUCAGCAGGAGGGACAACGGGCACCAGACUCUCAAGAGCUCCUGAUCAUGAAAAUGAGCCGGUACAUUCGGACAGCGAUUCCUAUGCAUCUACGUCUUCCGAGCCGGAGAGGGCGACGCUGCCGGGGUGCGCACCGCUGCCGACGGACGACUCUGGUGCGGCGGCCGACUCGGAGUCGUCGGAGACCGAGCGGUCAUCGUGUCGCGCCUGGUUCUGCCGCCGGCCUGACUGCCGCCGCCUGAACCCACCGCGUUGUCUCUACUGCAGCUGCUGCCGCACGGGCCGCGUCCGGGCCGGGUCCGAUCCCGCGGAAGGGCGGUGCGACCCGCCCGCCGAGCCUCGGGAGGCGGCACGGCCAGCCGGCUCCUGCUGCCUAAUGUGCCGGCGCCGGCCGGUCGGUGCCGCCGCCAUCCUGCACGGUCGCUCCGCCUGUCAGAGCGCAUGCCAUCGGUGCGCGCGACGCCUCUGGAAGCUCGGAAGGCCCUGCCCGGGUUGUGGCCAACACAUUGAGAAGAUCGUCACCCUGUGGUACGCUUGAGCCAGGCUCCGCACACCGCCAGCGAAGCCGCUGUCGGCUUGUCCUGGUCCGGUUCUCCACGACGUCGUCCUGGUGGCCGCGUGAUGAUGCUCAUCUUGACCGAACUCGAACUGCCGUUCUGUCAGAACACUGGACAUCAGGGCCUUUUCACCAUGGCCCGUAAUGGUUUUUGCGCUCUUUGCAGCGCGGUGUCGAUUAUGAAGAGCUUGAACGGCUGGAGACGUCUAGCUGGACAUUUUUGGAGGAGUGGAGGUGAACACUGCAGCUGUUAAAUGUGAUAUGCUGCUGAUCUCGAAUGGCUCAGGGUGGAUAUCGUGGUGUGCUGUGCAGGCUGAUUUGUGACCAUCAUCACCUACUGCCGAGCACAUGGGAUGGACAUAUGGAGGUGCUGUCAAGACCCACUACUAAUCACCAUGGACCACUGGCGAGCUGAGCUAUCGACAAUGUAGGCCGCUGUCCAGCUGAAUUGCUGGCAAUCUGGCUGCUGUCUGGCUCAUGUGCUGGCAAUCAGGCUGCUGUUCAGCUCAGCUGCUGGCGUUCGGACUGCUGUCUAGCUCAGCUGCUAGCCUGGGAGUGCUGUCAAUCCCAUGGCCAGUCAUCCAGGACAGCUGUCCAACUGAAUGCUGAUCACCUGGAGCCUUUGUCCAGCUCCGUGGCUGGCCAGCCAGGACUGCCAUUUAGCCGAACACUGGGCCAUCACUGACUGCUGUUCUGUCAGGACUGGUGGCCAUCAUGGACUUAUAUCCAGCAAAACUGCUGGUCAUCAUGGACUGUUGGUGUUCUGGACUUGCUGCAUGUCAAGUCCAGAACUGUCCAAGUCUGCUGUCAAGCUGAACUUCCGAAGCUGCCAUCCAGCUCGACUGCUGGUCAUCUGGGACUGCUGUCCAGCUCAACUGCUGGGCAUCCAGAAGUGCUGACCAGCACAACUGCUGGUCAUCUGGGAUGUGUCCAGCUCAACUGCUGAUCAUCUCAAACUGCUGUCCAGCUCAACUGAGGUUGUCUGGGACUGCUGUCCAGCUUAACUGCUGGCCUGCCAGGGCUGCCACCCAGCUCAACUGCUGGCUGUCAGCUUAACUGCUGGUCAUCCGGGACUGCUGUCCAGCUUAGCUGCCGGCCAUCUUAAACUGCUGUCCAGCUCAAUGGCUGGUUGUUCGGGACUGCUGCCCAGCCUCAUGGCUGGCUAUUCGAGACUGCCGCCCAGUCCGUGGCUGGUCAUUCAUCAUGCUGGACUGCUUACUGGCACAGCCAUGAACAUCGGGAGAAUGGAAAGGCCAGGCCAGCUCAACAACAAUGGUAUGUACCUCGGUCACUACCAUGACCAAACUUGCCUCAAGCCUUUAGAUGUUCAGAUGAAUCAUUCUGUUUUGAGCUUUUUCAAUGUAAUUUUAAGAUUUUUGCUGUCAAUAUACUUGCCUUAUUGUGUUUCUCAUUGUGGAUGAUCUAUAUCAUGUAAAUAUUUGCCAGCCAUUGUUUUUUCUUAAGGUAUGCUUUUGCCACAUUUCAGGAGAAAGUGUGCCCUUGUGACCCCAUUGCAGCAUUUCCAAUGUUUUCAGGUUUAUCUUGUGUAUGUUCUGCUCACACUCACACAGGCACCUCACUGAGGACACCUCACUGAGGAUACCUCACUGAGGACACCUCACUGAGGGUACCUCAUUGAGGGCAUGUCAUGUUACCCUCAGAGAUAAACAUUGUAGGGGUGGUCCGAUAAUCUGCCUUUAAAUCCAAACAUAUGUUUAAUAUGUGUGUAAUGCAGGGGAGAAAAAGGAGGUUGAAGCAAGCCUUCCAGUGCAAGAAAACUUAACUAGUAAAUGUGGUUGAACUUAGAGAGAAGCAUUGAGAGAGAAGCAUUUUCCUAUUCUUGGGCCAAAGGCUGCUUACCAGGUCUUGACCCGAAACACUCAACAGCACUCAACAUGCGGCUUUGUGUGGGGAUGUAGCAACUGGCUUGACUUUGCAAGAUACCGUUUACCGUCCCUUAUUAGAAAUAAACAACAUGACACACCACACGACACGAUUAUAUGCCUAAUGAUAAACACAGCAUUUUGGCAGGUGAAUCAAUUCCACGGAUGUUUGGAGGGGUAGCUAUGGUGGCGAUUUCCACUUAGUUUGAAACAACUGGGUUUCCUAAAACGUCAUUUAUUUGUUAAGUGUUCCCAAUUUGUCUUCAUUGCGAGGGAUCUGGUGGUGAGUUGAUCGUAAGUACAUAACCGUGAUGUGAAUAUACGUGUGGUAGACACGUCAUGGAUGUUCGACGACCCUAAUAUUUUCUCCCUAUUUUCUGUGCAUGCCUAGUGUUUUCAUAUCAACGUUUUGCUCCCUGAUCUUCUGUGCGCUUAUCGCUUCUUUCCGGCAUUGCUAUUUAAUUGGAUGCUAAUGUAUCCGUGCAUUGAGUGGCAUUGGAAGACGCAAGCAGAGGGGGGUUGUAGAACAGAAUUAUGGGACCUUUUGUUGAAAAUAGCCCUUUUGGGUGUUCCAGUAAGCACUGAUAAAACAAAGAUAUGCAUUGGUUGGAAUGUGUAAAUAUGUCGCUUCAUUAGCGUGUGUCCUUCAGGAUGGUAUAUGAGGACAUAUUGAUCACGUGCAAUCUUUGUUUUAUCAGUGCCUCUUGGAUAAUGAGGAUUGCCAUUUUCAUUACAAGAAAUUUGGUAUGAGAAGUUUACGCCAGAAAGGCAGGGCUUAAAACCUUUCUCACUUAUAUCAGGUUGAUGAAACUAGCGUGACCGGACAUGGUUUCACAUGUGGCCUGCGAUGCCCUUCGCUCCAAUAAGGAGCGGGGAGGCAUCAGACCAAACGUCUCGUCCCCGUCCUGGAAGCAGGGCGGGUGUCUUGCACGUGUUGUGACCUUGUUUUUUGGUGACUGUGCCGAGACGUGUGGCUGGAUGGUUGUCCAUGGUCUCCGUGCAGCCCGUUGUGAAGCGUGGCUAGUGGGUAGUGGCGAUUGAUUUAGUUUGGGGAAGGCACCGCGUAUGGAGCUCAGCACGUGCAGGCGUGGAGGUCUCAACUGGACCGUUCCAUUGGAGGCGAGUCGAGUAGCCCACUUUUUUGCCUUGUGUCUGCAUGGCAGUAUGUAGCUCCAGUAGCACUGGGGUUGCUCGGUUCAGCACGUUCCCUUUCAGGCAGAGGGCUAGGCGGAAGGUGCACAUUUUGUUCAGCUAGGAAGACAGCUGCUUUGUGUAUUCCAGCAUGAAAAGUGGAUUUAGCAGUACGAGUAGACCUGUUGUUUUGCUUGUGUCUUGUCCAGGGUGCACUGUGAUGGCUAAUGAAUAAACUUCUUUCCAGAAAUGCUUCUUUUUAUGAUCUACUGACCGAAGGCGGAAAGAGAGGCACCUUUGUGAUGCCAGUGAUGCGUGGAUGGUUUGACACUAUGUAUGUGUAUUCGGGUGUUCUCACGUACAAAAUAUAGUGCACGGAACGUCCAAAAUGAGAGCAACUUUAAAAAUGACUGGUUGGAGGCAGAAUGUGCAAUGAAUGUGCAUUGUGCACAGAAUGGAAUAGAUUGCGCACAACGUGGAAUGCGCGUAAUGUUUAAAAGUACAAAAUGUUCAAAUAAGCAAUUUUGAGUACAAAUUUGGUUCCUGGAGCGGCCGCCAAUGUCAAUAUUCACCCGUAUUUACUGGCGGCA